rfam:Lepisosteus oculatus linkage group LG10, whole genome shotgun sequence.
CCCCGACUAGCUUUCUUGGUAGAGCAUGAGACUCAUAAUUUCAGGGUAGUGGGUUUGUGUCCCACAUCAGGCA